GUAAAUAAUUAAGGGCGUAUGGUGGAUGCCUAGGCUCUCAGAGGCGAUGAAGGACGUGAUAAGCUGCGAAAAGCUCCGUUUAGGUGCAAAUAACCUUUGAUGCGGAGAUCUCCGAAUGGGAUAACCCAAUAUGUUGAAGACAUAUUAUACCGUAAGGUAGGCAAACGCAGGGAACUGAAACAUCUAAGUACCUGCAGGAGAAGAAAACAAACGUGAUUCCCCCAGUAGCGGCGAGCGACCGGGGAAAAGCCCAAACCGUUAUUGUUUCGGCAUUAACGGGGUAGUAGGACUGCAAGCUUGAUGAAAUAAAUGAAAUGGAACACCUUGGAAAAUGUGAUCACAGAGGGUGAUAAUCCCGUACAUGCAAGUUUAUGAAUCAUAGCAGUAUCCUGAGUAAGUCGGGACACGUGUAAUCCUGACCGAAUCCGCCGGGACCAUCCGGCAAGGCUAAAUACUCCUGAGAGACCGAUAGUGAACCAGUACCGUGAGGGAAAGGUGAAAAGCACUUCGAACAGAAGAGUGAAAUAGUCCCUGAACCCAUACGCCUACAAGCAGUCGGAGCCGCUUCGUGCGGUGACGGCGUGCCUUUUGCAUAAUGAGCCUACGAGUUACUCAUCACCAGCGAGGUUAAGUACUUCAGGUACGUAAGCCGAAGCGAAAGCGAGUCUGAAUAGGGCGUCAAGUUGGUGGUGGUAGACGCGAAACCUUAGUGAUCUACCCAUGGGCAGGGUGAAGGUUUGGUAACACAAACUGGAGGCCCGAACCGGUAAACGUUGAAAAGUUUUCGGAUGACCUGUGGGUAGGGGUGAAAGGCCAAUCAAACUGGGAAAUAGCUCGUACUCUCCGAAAUGCAUUUAGGUGCAGCCUCUGUUGUUUUGUUCUAGAGGUAGAGCUACUGAUUGGAUGCGAGGGCUUCACCGCCUAUCAAAUCCGGCCAAACUCCGAAUGCUAGAACAUGAAGACAGGGAGUGAGCCAGCGGGUGCUAAGGUCCGUUGACGAAAGAGGGAGAACUCAGACCAUCAGCUAAGGUCCCCAAUUGUAUGCUAAGUUGGAAUUAAAACGGGGUGGGACUGCUUAGACAGCUAGGAUGUUGGCUUGGAAGCAGCCAUUCAUUUAAAGAGUGCGUAACAGCUCACUAGUCGAGCGGUCCUGCAUGGAUAAUACGCGGGCAUAAGCAUAUAACCGAAGCUAUGGGAUUGUAGAUGAUACAAUCGGUAGGAGAGCAUUCCAUUCAGCAUAGAAGCAGUACCGUGAGGUAUUGUGGAGCGGAUGGAAAAGCAAAUGUAGGCAUAAGUAACGAUAAUGCGGGUGAGAACCCCGCACGCCGAAAGAUCAAGGAUUCCCCGGCAAUGUCAAUCAUCCGGGGGUAAGUCGGAUCCUAAGGGUAAGCCGAGUGGCGAUCCCGAUGGCAAACAGGUUAAUAUUCCUGUACUGAUCAUAACUGCGAUGCAGCGACGCAGAGGUGACACUGCUGCGUACUGACGGAAUAGUACGUUGAAACCCGUAUUCUUUGAUACCGGUAGUGAAGCACGCCGGUAGAGAUGAAAGGUGAUAGUACCGCAAUGCUUCGGUUGCGCGGAUAAUGCAGGUAAGCUGACUGCCAAGAAAACCUGCUAAGCUUCAGGUAAUGAUCAUCCGUACUGUAAACGGACACACGUGAUCAGGUAGAAAAUACUAAGGCGCUCGAGAGAUUCAUGGUUAAGGAACUAGGCAAAAUGGUCCUGUAACUUCGGGAUAAAGGACGCUCUUGUGAAAGAGCCGCAGAUAAUAGGCCCAGGCGACUGUUUACCAAAAACACAUGGCUAUGCUAAUUCGCAAGAAGAUGUAUAUGGCCUGACACCUGCCCGGUGCCGGAAGGUUAAGAGGAGAGCUCAGAGGCAACUCGAAGGUUUGAAUUGAAGCCCCGGUAAACGGCGGCCGUAACUAUAACGGUCCUAAGGUAGCGAAAUUCCUUGUCGGGUAAGUUC
rnacentral:rRNA from 1 species